CUUAAUUUGGCUCAAAGGAAAACUUGAAUAGAUAUAUCUCUAGCAGCUCCUCCUCCCACUCUUUUUUUAAGGGAGACUUCAACUUCUGCCAAGAGGGGAAGUAGCGGGUUGAGGGCUAUAGGAUUAUAUCUAUCUUCUUCCUUAAAUAGAGUGUCUAGGGAUGUCAUUUUCAGGUGCAAGUUAAACUUAUGAUCAUUAUUUCUUAACAGGAAAGGGGGACCCCAAACUCUAUAUCCAGAGCUUGACUUCCCACCAAAUACCAAUCCGACAAUGAAUAUACACAUAGAAAAAAGCAAAUAAACUUAUUUAUCUAAAUCAAUAGCAAUAUGGAAGUCAGAGAAAGUAUGUAUAUUAUGAAAUUAGGGGCAGCUAGGUGGUUCAGUGGAUAGAGAGCCAGGUCUCAAGAUGGGAAGUCUUGGGUCAAAUCUGACCUCAUACACUUCUUAGCGGUGCAACCUUGGGAAAGCCACUUAAUGCCAGUUACUUAUCCCUUACCAUUCUACUGCAUCAGAACCAAUAGUAAGAAUCUUUUUUUAAGGAAAGUAUACAUAUAAGCUAUUUAUACCAAACAAUAUAAAAUGAAGGGACUCUCCCAUUAGACCUUAACUAAGAGAGAAUCCUAUAUCUCAGCCAAGGGGAAAUUCCCUGAAGUCUCUAGCUUAGCAAAGUAAAGACAGAGACAUGGUGGAGAGCACUUAUAUCACCUUUUUUUUAGUCUUGUUCUCCGUUCAGAGACCUGAAGCAGGGUUGGCAUUGUUUAUCUUCUCUCUUGAAGCUUGAAGCCAGAAACCUGAAGAGACUGAGAGGCCCGAAGAGACUUUCCUCUCACUCAUCAACUUUAUUUCACUCCUCACACAGCCAUGGGACAUUGAUCUCUAUCAGGAGGAAAGAGCCCCAAAUCCUUGGCAUUGGAGCUUGGAUUUCAUUUGGUUCAGAAUAAAAGCUCCUUUCCUGGUUGAUGUGAUGGUAGUGUCAGAAGAGAGAAGGAGUUAUGUAUGAAAGAUGUGACAUUAGUGAAAACAACAGUCCUUUCUUGGGAACAGAUUGGAUGUGGUGGGGUAAGAUAUAAUGAGAAGCUGAGGCUGAUGCCUGCACUCUGAACUUGAGGGACGGGGAGGAGAGUGUUGCCUUCCACAGAAAUAGGGAAGUUAACAGGGAGGUAAGAAUUAGGGGAAAAGACCAUGAGUUCAAUUUUGGAUCUAUUUACUUAAAGAUGUCUAUUAGAUAUUCAGUAUGAGAUGUCUGAAAGACAGUUGCUGAUUUUAAAUUGGAAGUCAGCAGGGAGAUUGGAUUAGAAAAGAUAGAUCUGAGAAUCAUCAGUAUGGAAAAUGGUAAUUAAAUCCAUGACAGCUAAUGAUAUCACCAAUUAGUAUAGAGGGAGAAGAGAACUCAAGACAGAACCUUGUGGGACAGAGAC
rnacentral:lncRNA from 1 species